rnacentral:rRNA from 1 species
CCCUUAGAUGUCCUGGGCCGCACGCGCGCUACACUGAUGCAUUCAGCGAGUAUUUCCUUGGCCGAGAGGCCUGGGCAAUCUUUUAAACCUGCAUCGUGAUAGGGAUAGAUUAUUGCAAUUAUUAAUCUUGAACGAGGAAUUCCUAGUAAACGCAAAUCAUCAAUUUGCAUUGAUUACGUCCCUGCCCUUUGUACACACCGCCCGUCGCACCUACCGAUUGAAUGGUCCGGUGAAAUCUCGGGAUUGUGGCCAGUUCACUUUAUUGGGAGUUGGCUGCGAGAACUUGCUUAAACCUUAUCAUUUAGAGGAAGGUGAAGUCGUAACA